rnacentral:rRNA from 1 species
UAAAAGAAAUAAUUUUUAGUAACUCCUGCUCAAUGAGAUUUUAAUAGCCGCAGUCACCUGUGCUAAGGUAGCAUAAUCAUUUGCCUAAUAAUUAUAGGAUAGGAUGAAAGGAAGCACAUGUAAACUUCUUUAUUAAAAAAAUUUUUUUAACUUCACUAAUAAGUAAAAAGUUCUUAUUUCUUAUAGGAGGACGACAAGACCCUAUCAAACUUUACAGUUAUGUUUAGCUGGGGCGGCAAAAAACUAAACCUUUUCUUAAACCUUUAAAACGCUAGCCUAAUCUUUGAUAUACUAAGGUUACUGUAGGGAUAACAGCAUUAUUUUCCCCUAAAGAUCUUAUACAAGGGAAAGUUUUUGACCUCGAUGUUGAAUUAAUACCCUUUUAGGAGCAAAAUCUUAAGAAGAGAGUCUGUUCGACUUUUAAAACAUU